rnacentral:rRNA from 1 species
ACUCCUACGGGAGGCAGCAGUAGGGAAUUUUCGCAAUGGAGGAAACUCUGACGGAGCAAUACCGCGUGUGGGAAGAAGAUUUUCGGAUUGUAAACCACUGUUGUAAGGGAAGAACGUUAUUAGUAGGAAAUGGCUAAUAAGUGACGGUACCUUACCAGAAAGGGACGGCUAACUACGUGCCAGCAGCCGCGGUAAUACGUAGGUCCCGAGCGUUAUCCGGAAUUAUUGGGCGUAAAGGGCAC